GAUGAACGCUGGCGGCGUGCCUAAUACAUGCAAGUCGAGCGAACAGAUGAGAAGCUUGCUUCUCUGAUGUUAGCGGCGGACGGGUGAGUAACACGUGGGUAACCUACCUAUAAGACUGGGAUAACUCCGGGAAACCGGGGCUAAUACCGGAUAAUAUUUUGAACCGCAUGGUUCAAUAGUGAAAGACGGUUUCGGCUGCCACUUAUAGAUGGACCCGCGCCGUAUUAGCUAGUUGGUAAGGUAACGGCUUACCAAGGCGACGAUACGUAGCCGACCUGAGAGGCUGAUCGGCCACACUGGAACUGAGACACGGUCCAGACUCCUACGGGAGGCAGCAGUAGGGAAUCUUCCGCAAUGGGCGAAAGCCUGACGGAGCAACGCCGCGUGAGUGAUGAAGGUCUUCGGAUCGUAAAACUCUGUUGUUAGGGAAGAACAAAUUUGUUAGUAACUGAACAAGUCUUGACGGUACCUAACCAGAAAGCCACGGCUAACUACGUGCCAGCAGCCGCGGUAA
rnacentral:rRNA from 1 species